rnacentral:rRNA from 1 species
UAGGGAAUAUUGGACAAUGGGCGAAAGCCUGAUCCAGCCAUGCCGCGUGAGUGAUGAAGGCCUUAGGGUUGUAAAGCUCUUUCGGCGGGGAAGAUAAUGACGGUACCCGCAGAAGAAGCCCCGGCUAACUUCGUGCCAGCAGCCGCGGGAAUACGAAGGGGGCUAGCGUUGUUCGGAAUCACUGGGCGUAAAGCGCGCGUAGGCGGAUUGUUAAGUCAGGGGUGAAAUGCCGAGGCUCAACCUCGGAACUGCCUUUGAUACUGGCAAUCUUGAGUCCGGGAGAGGUGAGUGGAACUCCUAGUGUAGAGGUGAAAUUCGUAGAUAUUAGGAAGAACACCAGUGGCGAAGGCGGCUCACUGGCCCGGUACUGACGCUGAUGUGCGAAAGCGUGGGGAGCAAACAGG